rnacentral:rRNA from 1 species
UAAUACAUGCAAGUAGAACGCUGAUGUUUGGUGUUUACACUAGACUGAUGAGUUGCGAACGGGUGAGUAACGCGUAGGUAACCUGCCUCAUAGCUGGGGGAUAACUAUUGGAAACGAUAGCUAAUACCUGCAUAAGAGUGAUUAACACAUGUUAGUUAUUUAAAAGGAGCAAUUGCUUCACUGUGAGAUGGACCUGCGUUGUAUUAGCUAGUUGGUGAGGUCAAAGUGCUCACCAAGGCGACGAUACAUAGCCGACCUGAGAGGGUGAUCGGCCACACUGGGACUGAGACACGGCCCAGACUCCUACGGGAGGCAGCAGUAGGGAAUCUUCGGCAAUGGACGGAAGUCUGACCGAGCAACGCCGCGUGAGUGAAGAAGGUUUUCGGAUCGUAAAGCUCUGUUGUUAGAGAAGAACGUUGGUAGGAGUGGAAAAUCUACCAAGUGACGGUAACUAACCAGAAAGGGACGGUAACUACGUGCCAGCAGCCGCGGUAAUACGUAGGUCCCGAGCGUUGUCCGGAUUUAUUGGGCGUAAAGCGAGCGCAGGCGGUUCUUUAAGUCUGAAGUUAAAGGCAGUGGCUUAACCACUUGUACGCUUUGGAAACUGGAGGACUUGAGUGCAGAAGGGGAGAGUGGAAUUCCAUGUGUACCGGUGAAAUGCGUAGAUAUAUGGAGGAACACCGGUGGGAAAGCGGCUCUCUGGUCUGUAACUGACGCUGAGGCUCUGAAAGCGUGGGGACGCAAACAGGAUUAGAUACCCUGGUAGUCCACGCCGUAAACGAUGAGUGCUAUGGUGUUAGGCCCUUUCCGGGGCUUUACGUGCCG